rnacentral:rRNA from 1 species
ACCCCACUGCUAUCGGGAUAGGACUAAGGCAUGCUAGUUGAGCGCUUCCAGCCAACACGGGAGCGCAGCGCACAGCUCAGUAACACGUGGCUAAUCUGCCCUUGGGACCGGAACACCCCCGGGAAACUGGGGCUAAUUCUCGAUAGGUAAAGAACUCUGGAAUGAGUCUUUGCUUAAAAGACGUUUACGUUAUGCUCGUAGACGUCGCCCAAGGAUGAGGCCGCGACCGAUCAGGUUGUUGGUGAGGUAAUGGCUCACCAAGCCUUUUACCGGUGCGGGCCGUGAGAGCGGGAGCCCGGAGAUGGGCACUGAGACAAGGGCCCAGGCCCUACGGGGCGCAGCAGUCGCGAAAACUUUGCAAUACACGAAAGUGUGACAGGGCUAUCCCGAGUGCCAUCCGCUGAGGAAGGCUUUUACCCAGUCUAGAACGCUGGGGGAAUAAGGAGAGGGCAAGUCUGGUGUCAGCCGCCGCGGUAAUACCAGCUCUCCGAGUGGUGUGGAUGUUUAUUGGGCCUAAAGCAUCCGUAGCUGGCUGAGUUAGUCCCUUGUUAAAUCCACCGAAUUAAUCGUUGGAUUGCGGGGGAUACUGCUCGGCUAGGGGACGAGAGAGGCAGACGGUAUUUCCGGGGUAGGGGUGAAAUCCUAUAAUCCCGGGAAGACCACCAGUGGCGAAGGCUGUCUGCUAGAACGCGCCCGACGGUGAGGGAUGAAAGCUGGGGGAGCGAACCGGAUUAGAUACCCGGGUAGUCCCAGCUGUAAACGAUGCAGGCUAGGUGUUUGGACGGCCACGUGCCGUUCUAGUGCCGCAGGGAAGCUGUUAAGCCUGCCGCCUGGGGAGUACGAUCGCAAGACUGAAACUUAAAGGAAUUGGCGGGGGAGCACCACAAGGGGUGAAGCCUGCGGUUC